rnacentral:rRNA from 1 species
CAGCUUUCUGGAUCAUUACUGACACUGAGGAACGAAAGCAUGGGUAGCGAAGAGGAUUAGAUACCCUCGUAGUCCAUGCCGUAAACGAUGUGUGUUAGACGUUGGAAAUUUAUUUUCAGUGUCGCAGGGAAACCGAUAAACACACCGCCUGGGGAGUACGACCGCAAGGUUAAAACUCAAAUGAAUUGACGGGGACCCGCACAAGUAGUGGAGCAUGUGGUUUAAUUCGAAGAUACGCGCAGAACCUUACCAACACUUGACAUGUUCGUCGCGACUCUAAGAGAUUAGAGUUUUCGGUUCGGCCGGACGAAACACAGGUGCUGCAUGGCUGUCGUCAGCUCGUGUCGUGAGAUGUUGGGUUAAGUCCCGCAACGAGCGCAACCCUCACUUUUAGUUGCCAUCAUUAAGUUGGGCACUCUGAAGGAACUGCCAGUGAUAAGCUGGAGGAAGGUGGGGAUGACGUCAAGUCCUCAUGGCCCUUACGUGUUGGGCUACACACGUGCUACAAUGGCAUCUACAACAGGAAGCAAAACGGCAACGUUAAGCAAAUCCCGAAAAGAUGCCUCAGUUCGGAUUGCACUCUGCAACUCGAGUGCAUGAAGCUGGAAUUACUAGUAAUCGUGGAUCAGCGUGCCACGGUGAAUGCGUUCCCGGGUCUUGUACACACCGCCCGUCACACCAUGGGAGUUGGUUCUACCUUAAGGCAAGGUUUUAAACCCUUGACCACGGUAUAGUCAGCGACUGGGGUGAAGUCGUAACAAGGUAACCGUA